GGGUUGUGAGGUUAAGCGACUAAGCGUACACGGUGGAUGCCCUGGCAGUCAGAGGCGAUGAAGGACGUGCUAAUCUGCGAAAAGCGCCGGCGAGGUGAUAUGAACCUUUGACCCGGCGAUGUCCGAAUGGGGAAACCCAGUGCAAUCCGUUGCACUAUCGUUAACUGAAUACAUAGGUUAACGAGGCGAACCGGGGGAACUGAAACAUCUAAGUACCCCGAGGAAAAGAAAUCAACCGAGAUUCCCCCAGUAGCGGCGAGCGAACGGGGAGCAGCCCGGAGUCUGAAUCAGCUUGUGUGUUAGUGGAACGGUCUGGAAAGUCCGACGGUACAGGGUGAUAGUCCCGUACACGAAAGCACACAUGCUGUGAACUCGAAGAGUAGGGCGGGACACGUGGUAUCCUGUCUGAAUAUGGGGGGACCAUCCUCCAAGGCUAAAUACUCCUGACUGACCGAUAGUGAACCAGUACCGUGAGGGAAAGGCGAAAAGAACCCCGGCGAGGGGAGUGAAAAAGAACCUGAAACCGUGUACGUACAAGCAGUGGGAGCCUCUUUAUGGGGUGACUGCGUACCUUUUGUAUAAUGGGUCAGCGACUUAUAUUCUGUAGCAAGGUUAACCGUAUAGGGGAGCCGAAGGGAAACCGAGUCUUAACUGGGCGUUAAGUUGCAGGGUAUAGACCCGAAACCCGGUGAUCUAGCCAUGGGCAGGUUGAAGGUUGGGUAACACUAACUGGAGGACCGAACCGACUAAUGUUGAAAAAUUAGCGGAUGACCUGUGGCUGGGGGUGAAAGGCCAAUCAAACCGGGAGAUAGCUGGUUCUCCCCGAAAGCUAUUUAGGUAGCGCCUCGUGAACUCAUCUUCGGGGGUAGAGCACUGUUUCGGCUAGGGGGCCAUCCCGGCUUACCAACCCGAUGCAAACUACGAAUACCGAAGAAUGUUAUCACGGGAGACACACGGCGGGUGCUAACGUCCGUCGUGAAGAGGGAAACAACCCAGACCGCCAGCUAAGGUCCCAAAGUCAUGGUUAAGUGGGAAACGAUGUGGGAAGGCACAGACAGCCAGGAUGUUGGCUUAGAAGCAGCCAUCAUUUAAAGAAAGCGUAAUAGCUCACUGGUCGAGUCGGCCUGCGCGGAAGAUGUAACGGGGCUAAACCAUGCACCGAAGCUGCGGCAGCGAC
rnacentral:rRNA from 3 species